AGGUAGUAGCUCUGGUAGAGCGAGGGACUGAAAAUCCUUCUGUCUGCGGUUCGAAUCCGGACUCACUUC
rnacentral:tRNA from 1 species